rnacentral:rRNA from 1 species
UGGGGAAUCUUCCGCAAUGGACGAAAGUCUGACGGAGCAACGCCGCGUGAGUGAUGACGGCCUUCGGGUUGUAAAGCUCUGUUAAUCGGGACGAAAGGCCUUCUUGCGAAUAGUUAGAAGGAUUGACGGUACCGGAAUAGAAAGCCACGGCUAACUACGUGCCAGCAGCCGCGGUAAUACGUAGGUGGCAAGCGUUGUCCGGAAUUAUUGGGCGUAAAGCGCGCGCAGGCGGAUAGGUCAGUCUGUCUUAAAAGUUCGGGGCUUAACCCCGUGAUGGGAUGGAAACUGCCAAUCUAGAGUAUCGGAGAGGAAAGUGGAAUUCCUAGUGUAGCGGUGAAAUGCGUAGAUAUUAGGAAGAACACCAGUGGCGAAGGCGACUUUCUGGACGAAAACUGACGCUGAGGCGCGAAAGCCAGGGGAGCGAACGGGAUUAGAUACCCCGGUAGUCCUGGCCGUAAACGAUGGGUACUAGGUGUAGGAGGUAUCGACCCCUUCUGUGCCGGAGUUAACGCAAUAAGUACCCCGCCUGGGGAGUACGACCGCAAGGUUG